rfam:Ixodes scapularis strain Wikel colony gcontig_1108378218934, whole genome shotgun sequence.
UAGCUCAGUUGGUAGAGCGAUCCACUGGAAAUGGAGAGGUCCCUGGUUCGACACCAGG